CAGCCGCCACGGUAAUACGUAGGUGGCAAGCGUUGUCCGGAAUUAUUGGGCGUAAAGCGCGCGCAGGCGGAUCAGUCAGUCUGUCUUAAAAGUUCGGGGCUUAACCCCGUGAUGGGAUGGAAACUGCUGAUCUAGAGUAUCGGAGAGGAAAGUGGAAUUCCUAGUGUAGCGGUGAAAUGCGUAGAUAUUAGGAAGAACACCAGUGGCGAAGGCGACUUUCUGGACGAAAACUCACGCUGAGGCGCGAAAGCGUGGGGAGCAAUCAGGAUUAGAUACCCCCGUAGUCCCUGUCUCUUAUACC
rnacentral:rRNA from 1 species